rnacentral:ncRNA from 2 species
GGUUCCGAGGAGCGCUGCGAGGCGGAUCGCCGUCCCCAGGCUCGGAAAGGCAAUAACCGCGCUCGCCUAUU